rnacentral:sRNA from 1 species
UCCCGGAGGAACCCGACAAUGUCACUAGC